AACGUAGGACGCAAACGUUAUCCGGAAUUACUGGGCGUAAAGGGCGCGCAGGCGGAUCGAUAAGUUAGGCAUGAAAGCUUCGGGCUAAACCUGGAGAGGCUGUCUGAGACUGUCGAUCUGGAGUGCGAUAGAGGGGUGUAGAAUUCCGUGUGUAGUGGUGAAAUGCGUAGAGAUGCGGAGGAAUACCAGAGGCGAAGGCGGCACCCUGGAUCGUAACUGACGCUGAGGCGCGAAAGCAUGGGUAGCGAUUGGG
rnacentral:rRNA from 1 species